AGUUGCCAGCCGGGUGACAGGCUCCACGGUUGUCGCCUGCAACUUCUUCCCGCCUUGGAGUGUGCCUCAGUAUCCUUUCUGAAUACGGAUUAAAGGCAGCUCUUUGCAUCAGCUCUCGAGAGACUUGGGUCAAAGACCAAGCAACACAAAACCUUAUCACCUCUGUUACUGUCAAAAUUUGACUUAAAGCGCUUCCUUCUUGAGACAGGGUCACACAGUGUAUGUAGCCUUAGCCGGUCUGAAGCUACCCAGGUAGACCAGGCAGACCUCGAGAGCUACUUGUCUCUGCUUCCUCAGUGCUAGGAUCAGAAGUGUGCGCCACCACGCCCAGCUAAGACCUUCCUUUUAGAACUGGAAACCAUAAUUAAGAGAAUGGAUAGUGUGCACGUUGGAGAUGGUGCAGAUGAGCUGUUGUUUUGGAUGGAAAAUGGUACAGAGAAGUUUUGUUUUCUUUAUUCCUUGAAGAUUUUAAGGACUUGAAGUUCGAGUGGGGAAGUGGAGUGCGAAUCCGGGAGAUGUGUCAGGGAAGUGGGGAGUAAAUAUAAAAAUGCAUUGUAUGAAGUCCUUAAGGACUCUUUUUUUUUUUUUUUAAAGAAAAAUUUCAUACAUAUACAAUACGUUUUGAUCAUUUUUCCUGCCCACCACUACAUUCCUCUACAGAGUGUUUUUAAAGGCUAAUAAGUGGCUUGAUUACCACCUCUGGGCUGUUCACUAUAUCAUCUUUUGGGGAGCUUAGCCAAAAAUAUAUUAUGCUUGUGGUCUGAUUGCAUUGGUCUUAAGGAGAGUUUUGUAGGAACUAUGGGCCUAAAGUAAUUGCUAUAAUUUAGCAAGAGAAUGUCAUUUGGUUAAAUGCCUUUGUUUUCAUUUACUUUGAACUAACAAUCAGAUGCAUCUUUAACAGUUUCUGAUCAUUUUAUCAACACAUUUAUUUCUUAAAAAUAAGAGAAACUAAACUUGGACCAAAAGACUCAGCAUGUAAUAAUAUGGCUUUUCAUGUAUUUCUAAUGGUUUUUGUCUAGCUAAUCUUAAAUUUAAUUCCUGCAGGUUUUUAUGCAUAGUAAUUGAAAGCCUAGGCUAAUUAUGCUGCACAGAUGAAGAGUUUUAUAAGGAAAAAUAAAAAUACACAUGGGAUAACCCAUAUUAUCCAUGAUAUGAUAUUUUUGUCAACUUGGCAGGAUUGAGAAUCGCUAUGGGAAUACCUCUGGGUGUAUGUCUGAGGGAUGUUUCUAGAAACAUUUCAGGAAAGAAGGAAGGAAGAAGCACAUGGAUGUGAGCAGCCCCAAUGGGGUCAAGAGCUGAAUAAAAAAGAGAAAGCUCACUGAGCAUCAACACUCCUCUCAGUUUCCUGUUUCUUUCCUGUCUCUUCAGUCAGUGUGACCUCACUCUCGCCUCCAUGCCUUAGCUAUGGUGAUGGCCUGUGUCCUUCCUUAAUGGGAGCCAAAAUAAACCCAUCCUCCCUCAAGUCCUUUUGCCAAGCAUUUGUUUUUCACAGCAACAUGAAAAUCCAGAACAAACUGAUGUCAGGGUAUGACUUAAGAGGGCGGUGAGAUCAUAUUUAUUUUGGCUUACUUUAAAGUUGGUUCUGUGCCAUUGGACUGCUGGUGAAGACUUUUUGAAAGUUCAGUUGUGUCUCAGCACUGACUCCAUAUGUGAAGUCAGGUCCAAUUGGUCCUUUUUUUCUAGGUUUUUCUUUUUAUAGAUAUGAAGUAAAAUAGUGAACCUGCUAAUUUUUAAAGUCCUUUUAACCACUAGAAAUAUCAGUGAUUUGAUAGUUCUGCUGUUGCCCUGCCCCAAUAAUACUUCUUGUUUGUUCUUUCAAUGAGAGAGACCAUUGGGCAAAUUAGAAAGAAUAAACACUGCAGCUAAAUAUAAGCAAACAUCCACAGAAGUCACUGGGCUGCUUUUACUUCCCUAAAAGCUUCAUUUACUUCUACAAAGCAAAAAAAACAGUAAGAACUUUUGCUUCUUUGAGAUUAUAAAAUGAAUCAUUUACAAGUUCAUUUAUCUCUUCUACAACUUCAACCUGAGCAGCUAGCAGACAUCUUCAGCCUUAAUGGUAAUUAUUGUAUGUGGGCGGAUACUUCAGUUAAGGUUCUGAGAACCUGGCACUUGGAAAUCUUACUCAAAUAAAAAGCAUCGAGACAGUAAAACCAAAGAACAUGGCAGGUUUUUCUAUUCAAUGACUGGAACCCCAAAUUCUAAAACCUAUCUUAUCUUUCUUUUAUGGUAGUGUUUGUUUGUUUGUUUGUGGUCAUAUUUGAGUCAAGAGCUCACCGUGUAGCAGGGGCUGACCUGAAAUUCACUAUGCAGGCUAGGCUGGCCUUGAACCUGUAGAGAUCCUUCAGCCUCUGCCUCCUAAGUGCUGGGGUCACAGGGGUCAUGUGUCUGUAUCGCCAAAGCUGGAGGUUUUAAUGUGAAAUACUGCUUUUGUUUGGCCAUAGCUUCUCUAAUGCCAGGCUUAUGGAAAUCUGCCCUAGUAUGGGGAUAUCAACCACUGUAGUAGAACCUUUAAGAUAUAGGCAGGGCCUAAUAAACAGCAAUUAUGCAAUCUGGGCUCCACUCAUGAAUGGGGUGAUUAAAGACUGGUAUGAGUGAAUUCAUUAUUAGAGAGCAGGUUGUUAUAAGAAGAGCAAGCCUCUUGCCUCUCGGCAAGCUCCUGCCCUCUUACACGUGUCUCCUCUAUAUUAUCUACCAUGUUGCCUCAUAGGUAAAAGGCCCUCCCCAGGUUCAACCAGCCUGGCCAAGUGUCUUAGACUUUGACCUUCCAAAACUGUGAGCUAAGUAAAAAUCUCCAUAAAAAGGACCCAGUCCCAGAUAGUUUAUUAUAGCAAGCAUAACAAAACAGACUAACACAGAUACAUAACUUAAGGGGCCUAAAAGGAAAUUUUGCCUCUUUAAGAUUAUUGGAUGAAUCAUUUCUUAGUUCAUUCAUCGCUUCUACAACUGUAACCUGAGCAGCUACUAGACAUCAAGCACUGGACCUUAAGAAGAAAGUAAAUGGACAAAUUGCGCUUACAGUCUAGUGAGAGAACCACAAUAAAUGGUUAAAUUGAUAUGU
rnacentral:lncRNA from 1 species